AGUCAGACUGCACGAGAUAAGUUGGGUAGUCAAAAGGGAAAGAGCCCAGACCUACAGCUAAGGUCCCAAAGUAUGUGUUCAGUGGAAAAGGAUGUGAGAUUUCAGAGACAACUAGGAUGUUGGCUUAGAAGCAGCCACACAUUCAAAGAGUGCGUAAUAGCUCACUAGUCGAGAGGUCUUGCGCCGAAAAUGUCCGGGGCUAAAACACAACACCGAAGCUUAGGAAUGUAGCAAUACAUUGGUAGAGGAGCAUUUUUAUAGGCGUAGAAGCUGUACCGAUAAGGAGCAGUGGAGUAAUAAAAAGAGAGAAUGCCGGAAUGAGUAGCGAGAUGAAGGUGAGAAUCCUUCAGGCCGAAUAUCUAAGGUUUCCAGAGUAAAGCUGAUCUGCUCUGGGUAAGUCGGGACCUAAGGCAAGGUCGAAAGACGUAGUCGAUGGACAACAGGUUUAGAUUCCUGUACCGCUUAUUAUCAGAAAUGUGGGGACACAGAGACGUAUCCAAACCCAGGAAUGCAAAGACUGGGGCAAGCCAAGUACUGGUAUGGCAGGAAAAUCCGCCAUGCAACAGGAAUAGGUGAUGCGGACCGAAAUCAAGUAGGGAAGUUGGAGAAGGAGCUGUCAAGAAAAGCCGCUAUUGUGUAAUAAGUGCCCGUACCGUAAACCGACACAGGUGGAUGAGGAGAGAAUCCUAAGGCCGGCGGGAGAAGCAUUGUUAAGGAACUCGGCAAAAUGACCCCGUAACUUCGGGAGAAGGGGUGCCCAGGCAACUGGGCCGCAGAGAAAAGGCUCAAGCAACUGUUUAGCAAAAACACAGGUCUAUGCGAAACCGUAAGGUGAGGUAUAUGGGCUGACGCCUGCCCGGUGCUGGAAGGUUAAGAGGAGAGGUUAGCGCAAGCGAAGCUUUGAAUUGAAGCCCCAGUAAACGGCGGCCGUAACUAUAACGGUCCUAAGGUAGCGAAAUUCCUUGUCGGGUAAGUUCCGACCCGCACGAAAGGCGUAAUGAUUUGAGCGCUGUCUCAACAAUGCACCCGGUGAAAUUGAAGUACCAGUGAAGAUGCUGGUUACCUGCGCCAGGACGGAAAGACCCCAUGGAGCUUUACUCUAGUUUGAUACUGGGAUUCGAUUAUACCUGUACAGGAUAGGUGGGAGGCGAAGAAGCAAGGACGCCAGUCUUUGCAGAGCCGCUGUUGGGAUACCACCCUUGUAUGAUUGGAUUUCUAACCUGCGCCCGUGAUCCGGGUGGGGGACACUGUCAGAUGGGGAGUUUGACUGGGGCGGUCGCCUCCGAAAGGGUAUCGGAGGCGCUCAAAGGUUCCCUCAGAAUGGUCGGAAACCAUUCAAAGAGUGCAAAGGCAGAAGGGAGCUUGACUGCGACACCGACGGGUGGAGCAGGUACGAAAG
rnacentral:rRNA from 1 species